UGCUGCAGCUGAAAGGCAGGUCGCAAGUAACUGAGCACACGCCAUAUUUGUCAAUGACAAUUUAUUCCGAGUCCAUGUCAUCCGAAAUAUCGAGCCCACAUGUGUUUUGUGUGCCUUUUCUGUUUUUAUCUGUUUAUCGUUACUCUGAGCACAGCCUAAAUAUACCUUUGAAAGGUUGUUGUUGAGAACUGAAUUUCAAAUGUUUGGAAUCACACACAAAACAAAACAAAACAAAAAAUAAAAUAAAAUACAAUAUAUAAUUAUUAUAAUUAGUUGGAAUCCAUUUGCACUGCUAUUCAUUUAUGAUUGUCAGAACAACUACAUUUCCAACCUCAUUUAAACAGAACCUCAGGACAGACUGCGUCUAGACUCACUAAGCCAGUUUUUGGCUUAGCUGAGCAAGCAAUUGAGCCAAAAGCAGUUACCUUCUCUGGUAAUUGCUAUUUAUGUGAUUUGUGCAUAUUGUUUUGGUGAGGGAGGAGGAAGAAAAAAAAAAAAAUCUGGUAUAAAUCUCUUAAUAUAUAGUGGGGUCCAAAAGUCUUAAAAAAAUCUGUCAAAUUAAUAAGAAAUAUUUGUGAUUCUACACUGUUUUUUUUUCCCAGCCAGUAAUUAAAAGUUUCACAAUUAUAGCGUUUUUCAUCAAAUUGCUAUAACAACAAUUUUAACAAUUUUUUAUAUAAUAUAAAGCAUAACAGAAAUAUAUUUUUAUAUAAUAUGAUUUAAGUUUGUGUAAAAUUAGAACAGUGCUUUUUUAAUUAAUAUUUUUAUGUAGGAAGAAUGCAUAAAAUUUGUAAAUGUCCUUACUUUUGAUCAGUGUUACAAAAGAUUUCUAUUUUAAAUAAAUGCUGUUCUUUCAGUUCAUAAAAUAAUGCUGAAAAAAACAUGUUUCAUGGUUUCCACACAAAUAUUAAGCAACACAACUGUUUUCAACACUGAUAAUAAUAAUAAGAAAUGUUUUUUGAUCACCAAAUCUGCAUAUUAGAGGGAUUUCCAAUGAUCAUGUGACACUGAAGACUGGUGUAAUGACUACUAAAAUUCAACUUUUUCAUCACAGGAAUAAAUUACAUUUUAAAAAUAUAUUAAAAUAGAAAAUGUAUGGUAACACUUUAUUUUAAGGUCUCUUAACUAGUUGUUAAUUAGCAUGCAUAUUAAUAGAAUAUUAGCUAUUUAUUAGUAGUAAUUAAGCAUAUAUUAAUGCCUUAUUCUACAUGACCUUAUUCUACAUCCCUAAUCCUACCCAAUACCUAAACUUAACAACUACCGCACUAUUAAUAACUAUUAAUAAGCAGUAAAUUAGGAAUUUAUUGAGGGAAAAGUCGUAGUUAAUAGUGAAUAAGUGUUCCCUAUUCUAAAGUGUUACCAAAUGUUAAAAUAGAAAAUGUUAUUUUAAAUGUUAAUGAUAUUUUGCAAUAUGACAGUUAUACUUCCGUUCAAAUAAAUCCUUGGGGAACAUAUGAGACUUAUUUCAAGAACAUUAAAAAAUCUCACUGACCCCAAAUUGUACUGUUUUAAAUCAUUAUUAUAGGCUACAAAAACACUUGUAAUAAUAUCCCAGCAUGAACCUUUCUCAGUUUAUUCCACAAUCUACAGUAUGUACUAUUAUUUGCCUUAAAAGAGUCACAGUUUGGCUUAAAAUGUGAUUGUGUGCUGGCAUUGAGUAUAAAUGGCCUGAAUCUCAUCAAAAUUCAAGGUUUCAGCUGCUGAGCUCUCAGGGUACCGUAUUUGUAUUAUUUCUGGUUCUGAUUCUGCCCAACAGGAGCAGUAAAAUUAGAAACACUGCAGCACACUUGCAUUACUUACGUGCCACCCUUCAAUAAGCAGAAUGAUCCCACAUACGGAACCAUGCAAAACAAAGACAGGGUUCAGUAACACAAGUGGAAAAUAAUAUACGACUGUAUUUCAGAAAAAAGACCCUUGGAGAAAACUCAGAACACAUGAGGAGACCGAAUCGUGUAAUUAAAUACUGUUUGUCUUUUGUCUAGGAUCUACGAUUGAAUCACAAGUGGAAAUAAUUAAAUCUCCAAGCAGCCUUACAGAUGUCUUUCUAACUAAUCUCAGCUUGUUUACUCCAGUGUCACACACAUGUAGCCACGAAGAACAACAUGUAAUCACUGUUCACUUUUAGGAGAAACGUUAAAUGUUGUCAUGUUCUAGGAGUCCUUUUAAACUAAUGCUUAACAUAAAUAGCCAUUGCUCUGAAAUAUUUUUUACGUUAGUGACUUUUCCAUGGCAUAAUGUCUCAGAAGUGCAGAGAUAGGAUGGAUGGGUGCUAAUUGGAACACAUGAUCUAAAAGGCCGCAGGUGAUUUAUUCAGUGGUCAGGGCUUUUAAUGCUUAUAGGAGAUAAGGAAAAUGAGGGUACCUCCAUCGUGAGUGGUUUCUAGCAAACAGCUUGGCACGUUUAUGUGUUUGCUAACUGACCCAUAUCAAAUAAAAUCUUAGUUCAAGAGGAAAAAUAAACUUUCAUCUGUGUCAUUAAAAUAUUUCCAGCCCAGGUUUAUAUUCACUAACAUAACGGUUUAUUCACACCACAGGUGCUCUGAAUAAUUACCAAGGAUGCAGGAAAUAACAGGCAGUAUCUCAGCAUCUCAGAAAGAGCACAUCUGUGAUUAACAUUGCAGAACCAGUGAAGAAAAGACUAAUUGAAGAGCAGCCAGUCCAACAGCCAUUUAUUAGUGAAGUUGGAUAAGAUAAACCAUGUGUGGACCUUGAUGUUCUUGUAUUCUUUUAAAUGCAUUUCAUUCAACUUUUUACAGCUGGAACAUCUGAUGUAUCAUUUUAGUCUGUGAAUGAUGUCUCUUUUGUACAAGCCAUUACCUUCUUCACAGCUGAACUACACGCAAAAAUGAGUAAAACAAGUGUGUACACUGAACAGAUUUCAUUACAACGAAACUAGACAUUUUAAAAUGGACAGCUUGUUUAUUUUAUCAAAAUGAGUGAUCGCACUUUACAUGGAAGCUCUUCACAGACAUUCUUUUUGAAUUACUUUUAAAUCAAUAGUGGUUAGUCGAGUGUAAAUUCAUUUUCUGAGAGUCCUUUCUGAUUGCAAUAAUAAUAAAAAGUGCCUGUAGUUCAUCUUAUACUGAUACUGAAGAAAUCAAAACAGCAUUGCACCUCUUUGACUUUCAUUUGAUGUGACCCUGGACCAUAACAACAGUCAUAAGGGUCAGUUUUUUAAAAAUUGAUGUAUGGUUUGUUAGGAUAGGACAAUAUUUGGCCAAGAUACAACUAUUUGAAAAUCUAGAACCUGAGGGUGCAAAAAAACAAAUUUGAGAAAAUCGCCUUUGAAGUUGUCCAAAUGAAGUCCUUAGCAACGCAUUUUAAUAGUCAAAAAUUACGUUUUGAUACAUUUACGGUAGGAAAUUUACAAAAUAUCUUCAUGGAACAUGAUCUUUACUUAAUAUCCUAGUGAUUUUUAGCAUAAAAUAAAAAUUUAUCAUUUUGACACCUACAAUGUAUUGUUGGCCAUUGACUGGUUUUGUGGUCCAGGGUCACAUAUGGCCAAAAACCUCUGAAACAUUCUUCAUAUUAUGUUCUGCAGACAACCUGGUCUCACAGAAUUCCGUGUAAUGACCACGGAUCCUUAACUCAGAAUCUGUGGUGGCAUCACGGAAUCGCUGGAAAUUCCGUGAUGGGCUCACAGAAGUGAUACCAAUGUAAGUCAGUGACAGGCAUGUCACUGUGAGUGUCAUGUCAAUUCUGUGAGACCAGGUUGUCUGCAGAUAAAGGAAAGUCAUACAGGUUUGGAACGAAAAGAGGGUGAGUAAAUGAUGACAGAUUUUCGACUUGUUUCAAAUGCCAUCCUAAGCCCUUGCACCCCACAAAGUCUACAUUUUAGCGAUAUAAUGACGCAUAAACUGUCAGAUUGCAGUCCAAUGUGUUGUCAACAUCAGUGCAUGCUUGGCUGAAGUGUGUAUCAAGGGCAUAUAGCAGUUACAAGGGCAGCAGCCAUGAAUGAAACGUAAGAUGACGAAUAGGACACCAUACAGUGCCUUGGAUUCCAAGGACAAACACACAUGGCCAUUUUAAGUACAUGUCAAGUGUGCCAUUUGGGACAGGACCACUGUCAUGCCGUUAUUUUUCCAAGCAAGUCAUUAAAAUGCACUUGUAUAUAUUAGAAUGUAAACUAAGACUAAAAGCAUAAGACUAGUGAUGUUAUUUAAUGCCACUUAGUUUGUUUCACUCAGUAGAGGAAUUAGCUGCCUGACGUCUUCCGUAGGAAUCCAGGAAAGAUCCAAUUAGGAAAAUUCAGGCACCAUUUCAGCCUUCAACUCCUGUGAACAGAUUUUAAUAAGCUUUGCAUCUGCCAGGUACCCACUGAUACUCACACAUGGUGCUUUUUUUUUUUUUUUUUUGUGAGCCAGUGGUAGAUCACAUAGUGUUUGUUGUUUGUGCUUGCCUUUGUAUUUAUAUGUUUUCAGUUUAGGGUUAAUGUUCAGUCAUCAUCAUCAUAGGAUGUCUUCCAAGUUUCUUGAGCAAUCUAACAUACUGCACUUCAUAAUAUUACACAUUCCUGCUUCUUGGACAGCUUACAUGCUGUCUAGUGUAUGACAGCUAGUCUGAGCCAUCACUUUUUUUUAGGCUUUUACCCAAAUCAUUGGGAAAGACAUGACACAAGUUUUUUAAACAGCUUAGUCAACCAGCUAAAUCCAGAUGUUUUCUAGACGUCCCCCAUUGCAUAUCAAUCAUGUCUGAAUAACAUACACAUCCAUUUAUGAAUCAAUCAUUAUGGAACUAAUGAUCAUAUUAAAUUAAAAAAUAGUUUGUGAUUUUUUUUGAGAAACAUAAUGUCAAAUGCUCUGUUUCUCAACAGCAUUCAGUCACAAUUAAGACCAGGCAGUGAAAAGACGUUUUUACACAUGGAACAUGCAAGACCACCCAAGAAAGACUUCAAAAGCUGAUGUUUCGUGGAAGGUACCACAUAAAUUGGUGACCUGAGGAAUCACGUGUCUUGGUGACAGCCUAACCAGAAACAAAGCGAUGAAUAUAUAAGUGAUAAAAGGAUCGUUGUCCAGCAUCGAAACCGAUGUUGUGAAUACAUGGAAACGGCACGAUUCAUGACAACAUUGAGG